UACAGAGGGGGCGAGCGUUGUUCGGAAUUACUGGGCGUAAAGGGCGCGUAGGCGGCCUGCUAAGUCAUACGUGAAAUCCCUCGGCUCAACCGGGGAACUGCGUGUGAUACUGGCGGGCUUGAAUUCGGGAGAGGGAUGCGGAAUUCCAGGUGUAGCGGUGAAAUGCGUAGAUAUCUGGAGGAACACCGGUGGCGAAGGCGGCAUCCUGGACCAUUACUGACACUGAAAAGCGAAAGCCAGGGGAGCAAACGGG
rnacentral:rRNA from 1 species